AACGAACGCUGGCGGCAUGCCUAACACAUGCAAGUCGAACGAAACCUGCGGGCUUGGUGGCGCACGGGGCGGUAGAGCGGUGGGACCUGCCUAUAGGUUCGGAAUAACGCGCCGAAAGGGGUGCUAAUACGGGAUAAUGUCUCCGGUACCAAGAUUUGGCGCCUUUGGAUGGGCCCGCGUUGGAUUCGCUAGAGGGUAGGGUAAAAGCCUACCAAGGCGACGAUCCAUAGCUGGCCUGAGAGGAUGAUCAGCCACACUGGCACUGAGACACGGCCCAGACUCCUACACGAGGCAGCAGUGGGGGAUACUGGACAGCGGGCGGAGUCAUGAUGCAGCUAUGCCGCGUGAGUGAUGAAGGUCUUAGGGUUGUACAGCUAGUUUACCCGGGAUGAUAAUGACGGUACCGGGAGAAUAAGCACCGGCUAACUCCGUG
rnacentral:rRNA from 1 species